rnacentral:rRNA from 1 species
GGACGAACGCUGGCGGCGUGCUUAACACAUGCAAGUCGAACGGAAAGGCCCUGCUUUUGUGGGGUGCUCGAGUGGCGAACGGGUGAGUAACACGUGAGUAACCUGCCCUUGACUUUGGGAUAACUUCAGGAAGCUGGGGCUAAUACCGGAUAGGAGCUCCUGCUGCAUGGUGGGGGUUGGAAAGUUUCGGCGGUUGGGGAUGGACUCGCGGCUUAUCAGCUUGUUGGUGGGGUAGUGGCUUACCAAGGCUUUGACGGGUAGCCGGCCUGAGAGGGUGACCGGCCACAUUGGGACUGAGAUACGGCCCAGACUCCUACGGGAGGCAGCAGUGGGGAAUAUUGCACAAUGGGCGGAAGCCUGAUGCAGCAACGCCGCGUGCGGGAUGACGGCCUUCGGGUUGUAAACCGCUUUCGCCUGUGACGAAGCGUGAGUGACGGUAAUGGGUAAAGAAGCACCGGCUAACUACGUG